CAGUAGCCGCGGUAAUACGAAGGGGGCUAGCGUUGUUCGGAAUUACUGGGCGUAAAGGGCGCGUAGGCGGCCAUUCAAGUUAGAUGUGAAAGCCCUGGGCUCAACCUAGGAAUUGCAUUUGAUACUGUUUGGCUUGAGUUCGGGAGAGGUGAGUGGAAUUCCCAGUGUAGAGGUGAAAUUCGUAGAUAUUGGGAAGAACACCAGUGGCGAAGGCGGCUCACUGGACCGACACUGACGCUGAGGCGCGAAAGCGUGGGGAGCAAACAGGAUUAGAUACCCCCGUAGUCCCUGUCUCUUAUAC
rnacentral:rRNA from 1 species